ACCAGACUCCUACGGGAGGCAGCAGUGAGGAAUAUUGGUCAAUGGGCGGAAGCCUGAACCAGCCAAGUCGCGUGAGGGAAGACUGCCCUAUGGGUUGUAAACCUCUUUUGUCAGGGAGCAACGCCGGCUACGUGUAGCCGGACUGAGAGUACCUGAAGAAAAAGCAUCGGCUAACUCCGUGCCAGCAGCCGCGGUAAUACGGAGGAUGCGAGCGUUAUCCGGAUUUAUUGGGUUUAAAGGGUGCGUAGACGGGACAGCAAGUUAGUUGUGAAAGCCCUCGGCUUAACUGAGGAACUGCAACUAAAACUAUUGUUCUUGAGUGCAGGAGAGGAAAGCGGAAUUCCUAGUGUAGCGGUGAAAUGCGUAGAUAUUAGGAGGAACACCAGUGGCGAAGGCGGCUUUCUGGACUGUAACUGACGUUGAGGCACGAAAGUGUGGGGAGCAAACAGGAUUAGAUACCCUAGUA
rnacentral:rRNA from 1 species